rnacentral:rRNA from 1 species
UACAGAGGGUGCGAGCGUUAAUCGGAAUUACUGGGCGUAAAGCGCGCGUAGGCGGCUUUGCAAGUCGGGUGUGAAAUCCCCAGGCUUAACCUGGGAACUGCAUUCGAGACUGCAUUGCUAGAGUAUGGGAGAGGGAAGUGGAAUUUCCGGUGUAGCGGUGAAAUGCGUAGAGAUGUGGAGGAACACCGAUGGCGAAGGCAGCCUCCUGGGCCAACACUGACGCUCAUGCACGAAAGCGUGGGGAGCAAACAGG